GAUGAAGAACGUAGCGAAAUGCGAUAAGUAAUGUGAAUUGCAGAAUUCAGUGAAUCAUCGAAUCUUUGAACGCACAUUGCGCCCCUUGGUAUUCCAUGGGGCAUGCCUGUUCGAGCGUCAUUUGUACCUUCAAGCUCUGCUUGGUGUUGGGUGUUUGUCUCGCCUCUGCGCGUAGACUCGCCUCAAAACAAUUGGCAGCCGGCGUAUUGAUUUCGGAGCGCAGUACAUCUCGCGCUUUGCACUCAUAACGACGACGUCCAAAAGUACAUUUUUACACUCUUGACCUCGGAUCAGGUAGGGAUACCCGCUGAACUUAAGCAUAUCAAUAAGCGGAGGA
rnacentral:misc_RNA from 1 species